ensembl:snRNA U6 U6 spliceosomal RNA
GUGCUCACUUUGGCAGCACACAUACUAAAAUCGGAACGAUAUAGAGAAGAUUAGCUGGCCCCUGUGCAAAGAUGACAUGCAAAUUCAUGAAGCAUUCCCUAUUUUU